rnacentral:tRNA from 1 species
GAGGGUAUAGCUCAGGGGUAGAGCACGUGCUUAGCAUGCACAGGGUCCUGGGUUCAAUCCCCAGUACCUCUA